GAAAAGGUUUUAAAAACGAACCGUUGGAUUUGGGAAGUCAAAAAGUUUGGGUCGGUGUAUUUGGCGCUUAAUAUACAAACGAACCGUUCUUCAUUCGUCACUCUCACUCAUCCCGCUCUCCAAACACCGCCGGAGAGACUCACCGCGUUCUCUGUAACUCCGCUUCUCGGAGACCCAAGCACCCCUAUCCUUCGCCACUCACUCACAACCAUGUCUACGAUCCAAAUCAAUUGACAAGAUCGCUGUUUGGAUUGUUGUUUUCGCCCUUUCAGCAAGUACUACAAAAGGGCCUCUUUUAGCCUACAAUGUUAUCGAUCUCCAUUCACACUGAGAGAUAUUAUUUUUCAAGAUUUGAAGUGCAGUUUAUCACCAGGUAUCUACACUGAUGCACUUAAUUUCCAAAUAUUUUGAAUUAAUGGUUCAUUAAUAAUGCUGAUAGAUGCUCAAAGAUCACCAUUGGCUGCACUCCUAACAGGGAUUUUCAUUCUGUUUCACUUGCUACUAAGGCGAAAAACAAAAUACACACAAAUUUAUGUUUUUUGGAUCUUUAAGUGUAUUUCAUUCUUUUUUUUUUAAUACUAAUUUCAAACUUAUUAAGCCUCUUAUCAUGCUUUCGUUCUUGGAAUAGGGGAUGAUGGUUGAUGUAGUGGUCAACAAUGCAGGUUACAUAAUUCUUUCUUCCCUCGCUUCUUAAACUCUAAACCUGAAUCACAUGUUUGUCUUUUAGUUUGAUCUCAACCAAUGAUCCAAGGAUUAUAAAGGAUAGUUUGUUGAUGAGGAUGAAGACAUGUCAAUGGCAGGAAGUUGUUGAUUUUGAUUCUCACUGGUGUAUUCCUAUCUACACAAUGAUACAUAGGUUGCUGCCAAAAUUAUGAUGAAAAAGAAAAAGGAUUAUUCACAACACCCAAUUAUAGAAUUUUAUGAAGGCAUACAAUGAUAAAAGGAGCAAACUCCUGAUGAGGUAAA